UGUCCAUAUUAGAAAAAAAAACGUAAUAUUUUAAUAUAUGCACACACAUACAAACAGAUGAACCAGUAUUUAAAAGAAACAGUAAAAAUGUUAAAAUGGUAUGCAAGAUAUAAUUUCAGACUAAGAUAAUUUUUUUCUAUUUAAUUUAGUCCAGUAUUCAUCUCAAAUUUGGAGUUUGCUCAACUAAAGAUUCUUCAGAAAGCCCCAUCUCAUGAAAUCAACUUCUUUUAUGUCACCUUCCAGUAUAUUCCAAAAAUCAUAGAGACAUGGCCAGAAACAAAACAUUCCUCAGAACAACAGGACUGUGAUAUUUGUUUCAUUGUCUAUUUUAUAGAAAUUUGUUGACUAUAAUUAUUUUGUGUUGUGUUUUUGAGUGCCUGCAGUUGGUUGGCUUAAUUAGAACCCAAGGCGAAAAGGAAGAGAAUAGAUUAAGGAGCAACAAUUACCUGAUCAAAUUUUAAACGAAAUUCCUAAAUUGUUGCAAUUGCAAAAUAAUCAGACAUUUAAAUUUUAACAAAGUGGAAAAUCAAUAGAUAUAUAUAUAUAUAUAUAUAUAUAUAUAUAUAAAAGGGAACAGAAUGUCACAAACAUACAAAUUGGAUUUGUACAGUUGAAGGAUGAACCUUUGAAUGAAUUCCACUUGUGUUAUCCUCAGUAACCAUCAAAAAGAUGAUUUAAUAAUACCUCCCUUGUGUCUCAAAAAACCUUCUUCCGGUUGAGGAUUUUGUGAGUCUCACCCUCAAAAGAUGUGGGAAAGCUCAUUCUACUCAACUAUGUUAUCGAAGAAAAUUUUAUGCCUUGCUUCAGAAUUUGAGCAGAACCUGAAAAAUGCCUGGUUUCAGACCUUUACUUUAUUAUUAUUAUUUUAAAUAUUUAUGUAUGUAUUUAUUAAUUUAUUAAUUUAAUAUUUUAUUGUUUAGGUCUAUUGUGUUGAAGGGAUUAGGCAUGUUGAAAGGUCAAUAAAGGUGACGAUGCGAUCAAUGGUAAAAUUGAAUAACGUUAAUAGCAAAUGAGCUGAUUGAUCACUGGAUGAAUGGAUGGACGGAUGAAAGUCGUGGUGCAUGUGUACAUCCAUCCAUUAAAUAUAUUAUCUUUUCAAAAGGCUAUAGUGAGGAUAUGAAUUCUAGAUUCUUCCUCACCAUGCCACUCACAAGAUUCAUUUUAAUAGUUUUCUAUGAAGGGCUUUUUCCCAAUCUAUUUAUC
rnacentral:lncRNA from 1 species